CCCUUAGAUGUUCUGGGCCGCACGCGCGCUACACUGAUUCAUGCAACAAGUUUUGUCCUUGGCGGAUAGGCCUGGGUAAUCUUUGAACGUGAAUCGUGAUGGGGAUAGAUGAUUGCAAUUAUUCAUCUUCAACGAGGAAUUCCUAGUAAACGCAAGUCAUCAGCUUGCAUUGAUUACGUCCCUGCCCUUUGUACACACCGCCCGUCGCACCUACCGAUUGAAUGGUCCGGUGAAAUCUUCGGAUCUGAGAGAUGUCUGAUUAAUUUCGGACGCCUUUUGGAAAAGUUGCUUAAACCUUACCAUUUAGAGGAAGGUGAAGUCGUAACA
rnacentral:rRNA from 1 species